CUUUUGUUGUUGUUGUUGUUUUUAUAAAUGGAUUAGUAUAAGGGGUUUCUGGUCUGUAACUGGGCUUCCUAGGCUGGAGAACAGAAUGCUUCUGGCUUUCUCAUGUUCACAAAUGUAAGGAUGAGGAGCUGGCUGCAGAAACCUGCAUCUAACCAAAGGAUCCUAAAAGGCAGGCCCAAUUUUGGGCUAAGCUCUAAGCAAGAUAUGAACUGAAGCUUAAAACAGAGCUCACUGUGUGCUUUGGUACAGCUCCGCCCUCCUCAGCUUCUUGUGGACCUCUCAGCUCUGGCUUUGGCAACAGGAAAGAAGAGCAAGAAUGGAGAGUCAUCGCAAUUCCAAAGCGGUCCCUGUCGUGCUGGAGCUCAUUGCCCUUGCCUAGGAAGCUGCUCAUCUUUGCUGUUCUGCAAUGCCACAACUUGGGCACCUGCUAACAUGCRCAAAGGAGAGCACAAAUCUGCAGCAGUCCCAGCCUGGAGGAGCUCAGUCUUGGCUCUCCUCAGCCACUUCUGUCCCUCUGAGCACAGACAUCUCCCUGCUGAGCCGGCCUCUCUGAUCUCCCCGCUCCGCACUGCCGCGGUGCCUUCAUCUGCUCCGCCAGGUGCGGAGAGCACUUGCCACAUUUGCUCUCACCAGUUCUGCACAGAAUCUGGAAGCAUUUCCUCUGUUUGGAAGUUAAACCUGAGGAAGCCUUUCCUGGGAUGCACGUUCAGAGCCUCCUUGCUCUGAGGAGCAGAACAUCCAGUUCACAUAGGACAGGAUCUUAGUAGAGGAGUGGCAGGUGGUAACCUCUGUUUGGAAGAUGAAUCCAUGGAAUUUUUCCUUGGAAUAUGUCUCUUCUACAUCCUCCUCCUUGGAUUGUCAUAGGAGAUGAGUCAAGCCCCSCUACUGAGCCUGUCUUGUUCUUCACCAGGCACCCACCAGGGGCACGUCAGGACGUUUCUGAAAAUUAACUUAAGGAGCUCAGACUUCAAGCUCUGGAUCCCUGGUUUCAGAAGGGGGAUUGCUGCAAAAGGACUUCAAAGCCAUCUUUAUCUUCUCUCUGCACCUAUUGCAUUUAUUUUAAAUGAGCACAAAUAUAUAUUUUUUUAUUCGAGGGGCCUACGCCUUGAGAGAAUUAAAAUGCAGCAGGAAUAAAUAGGUAAUGAGAGACAAAUUGUUGAACUGCAGCCACUGACAGCAGUCGCAGAAACCAGGAAUGUGUCUCCCUCGUAUGAAGUGCAGGGCCCUGGAGUGUCUCUUAAAGGUGAGACUCCUCUGCUAGACCUGAGGYGCUGCAGAGAGGAAGGUGGCACAAAUAACAAGAGAAUAAAAGAUAGUGAGAAAAAUUAAGCACUAAUAUAACACUUCCGUCUUUGCAGCGCUGAACCAUCAAUGGGUUGUUAGCUCUCCAGGCAGUCCCAGCAGGUGAGCCCGUACUGUGCGCUGCCCUAGGGAGAUGCUGCAAAUGCCACGUGAUGCCCUUUUGGGCUAAACACUUUUUGUGUGUGUUUUGGAAUGAUUUCUGAAACAAGAUAAAAGUCAAGUCUGGCAGUAUUUAUACAAAAAGAUGACUUCCACCAAGGGCAGGGCAAUCYGUCUAUGCCUUCCAGCACUGCAAACACUGAUUUUUAUCUGUUUGAUACUGCUCGCAUGUCUUCUUGUAUCUUCUCUUUUUAAAGCCCGGGCUUUCUGAGAACCUUUGGAUGUUGUUGUACAAUCUAUAUAUACACUGGUAAUAUUUUAGGUUUUGCAUAAAGAAAUAAUUUACAUGAACUGUCAUUUCUGUGCCAUGUCGGUAAAAAUAACCAUAAGUGAACAUGGAAAAAUGCAGCCAUAAAUAUAAAGUUGAAUAGUUAAAUCCACUUAUUUCAACACUGCUUAUAUCUCAUAUACCACUUUUUCAAAUAUUCUAAGUAACUGUUUCUCUGACAGAAAUGUUCUUUGAAGCAGCAAAUACAAAACAAAUAUUGAAAGGAAGCCUGCAGAACAUAAGUUUUAAAAUGAUAAAAUAUGGCACUAGAAACCUAGUUUAGAAGUAUUAGUAUGUGAGAAUCCAUUUCCUGUGACUGGAAUUUCCAAUCAAUUCACAUCAGAAUUUGAAUAUUGAACAUCUCCUGUGAGCAUGAAUGCUGCAAAUUAAGGAUUAUUUGGGAAAACUGUCUGGGGAUUAUUCAAGAAACCAACAAUCCAUUCUCAAAUGAUUUGCAAUUAUGGGGAAGCAUGUUUAAACAACCACAGUAAAUUAUUUGUACAGUUCUAUUUUAGUCAUAGACUCUAUCUGUGCAUCCAUUUCUGGAAUAGUCAUUGCAACUCAUGGAUGUAUAUGUGCAAAGCGGGUUGAAAUAAUCAUUUGUAUAUUUACCCUCAGGUGAGAGCUUGUUCCCUGAGGCAAAGCAGAGUAAUCCAAAGGCUGCAGUCACUUUUGGAACUGUAAGGGGCUGGGAGAGCAAUGGGAUGUUAUCUGCCAACAUGAAAKUAAUGGUAAUUUCCCUCUUCUACCUCUUCUUGACUAGGUCCUUUGACCAGCUGUAAAAUUUUGCAUCAACUAUUGAGCUGCUAUGGGUUUGACCCACUUCACAAGUAUCUCUACUGCUGGUGGCUCAGCCAGCUGCAGGGCAYCUUCUCAAGACUAGGGAGAGACCCGCAGCCUGCAUUGCAGGCUUAUCUUCCAGCUCUCUGACGCUGACUACGCAACAUCUGCUUGCAGUGACAUUAAACAUGACAACAUGCCCAAACCCUGCGUUCUGCUCCGUGCACCAAGCAAGCCAGUCUAUGGCACAGCCAACAAACUCGUCUUUUGCUGUGAAGUGUCUGUUGUUUCCUUGUAAACUCUUCUGUUCAAAGCUCAA